UGACCUCAGCUCAAGCGAGAUUACCCGCUGAAUUUA
rnacentral:rRNA from 1 species